rnacentral:tRNA from 2 species
GCGGAAGUAGUUCAGUGGUAGAACACCACCUUGCCAAGGUGGGGGUCGCGGGUUCGAAUCCCGUCUUCCGCUCCAAC